CCCUUAGAUGUUCUGGGCCGCACGCGCGCUACACUGACGCAUUCAACGAGUUUUGCCUUGGCCGAAAGGCCUGGGAAAUCUUGGAAAGUGCGUCGUGAUAGGGAUAGACUAUUGUAAUUAUUGGUCUUGAACGAGGAAUUCCUAGUAAACGCAGAUCAUCAAUCUGCAUUGAUUACGUCCCUGCCCUUUGUACACACCGCCCGUCGCACCUACCGAUUGAAUGGUCCGGUGAAGCCUCGGGAUCGUGACUUGCGCCCUUCAUUGGGAGCCUGUCGCGAGAACUUGUCUGAACCUUAUCAUUUAGAGGAAGGUGAAGUCGUANCA
rnacentral:rRNA from 1 species